rnacentral:rRNA from 1 species
UAGUCCACGCUGUAAACGAUGUCUACUAGCCGUUGGUUUCCUUGAGGAAGCAGUGGCGCAGCUAACGCGAUAAGUAGACCGCCUGGGGAGUACGGCCGCAAGGUUAAAACUCAAAUGAAUUGACGGGGGCCCGCACAAGCGGUGGAGCAUGUGGUUUAAUUCGAUGCAACGCGAAGAACCUUACCAGGUCUUGACAUCCUGAAAACUUUCUAGAGAUAGAUUGGUGCCUUCGGGAAUUCAGUGACAGGUGCUGCAUGGCUGUCGUCAGCUCGUGUCGUGAGAUGUUGGGUUAAGUCCCGUAACGAGCGCAACCCUUGUCCUUAGUUGCUAGCAGGUAAUGCUGAGAACUCUAAGGAGACUGCUGGUGACAAACCGGAGGAAGGUAAGGAUGACGUCAAGUCAGCAUGCCCCUUACGCUCUGGGCUACACACGUGCUACAAUGGUCGUGACAAAGAGUUGCUAGUCUGCGAAGGCAAGCCAAUCUCAUAAACGCGG